rnacentral:rRNA from 1 species
AGCAGCCGCGGUAAUUCCAGCUCCAAUAGCGUAUAUUAAAGUUGCUGCAGUUAAAAAGCUCGUAGUUGAAUUUCGGGACCAUCAUGUCGGUCGUGCCUCGGUACGUACUGGCAUUGUUGGUUUCUACCUUCUGACGAACCAUGAUGUCAUUUAUUUGGUGUCGUGGGAAAUCAGGACUGUUACUUUGAGAAAAUUAGAGUGUUUAAAGCAGGCUCACGCUUGAAUACAUUAGCAUGGAAUAAUGAAAUAGGACGUUUGAUUCUAUUUUGUUGGUUUCUAGGAUCGACGUAAUGAUUAAUAGGGAUAGUUGGGGGCAUUAGUAUUCAAUUGUCAGAGGUGAAAUUCUUGGAUUUAUUGAAGACUAACUACUGCGAAAGCAUUUGCCAAGGAUGUUUUCAUUAAUCAAGAACGAAAGUUAGGGGAUCGAAGACGAUCAGAUACCGUCGUAGUCUUAACCAUAAACUAUGCCGACUAGGGAUCGGAUGAUGUUAAUUUUUAAUGACUCAUUC